AGAGUUUGAUCCUGGCUCAGAUUGAACGCUGGCGGCAGGCCUAACACAUGCAAGUCGAACGGUAACUGGAAACAGCUUGCUGUUUCGCUGACGAGUGGCGGACGGGUGAGUAAUGUCUGGGAAACUGCCUGAUGGAGGGGGAUAACUACUGGAAACGGUAGCUAAUACCGCAUAACGUCGCAAGACCAAAGAGGGGGACCCUCGGGCCUCUUGCCAUCGGAUGUGCCCAGAUGGGAUUAGCUUGUUGGUGGGGUAACGGCUCACCAAGGCGACGAUCCCUAGCUGGUCUGAGAGGAUGACCAGCCACACUGGAACUGAGACACGGUCCAGACUCCUACGGGAGGCAGCAGUGGGGAAUAUUGCACAAUGGGCGCAAGCCUGAUGCAGCCAUGCCGCGUGUAUGAAGAAGGCCUUCGGGUUGUAAAGUACUUUCAGCGGGGAGGAAGGGAGUAAAGUUAAUACCUUUGCUCAUUGACGUUACCCGCAGAAGAAGCACCGGCUAACUCCGUGCCAGCAGCCGCGGUAAUACGGAGGGUGCAAGCGUUAAUCGGAAUUACUGGGCGUAAAGCGCACGCAGGCGGUUUGUUAAGUCAGAUGUGAAAUCCCCGGGCUCAACCUGGGAACUGCAUCUGAUACUGGCAAGCUUGAGUCUCGUAGAGGGGGGUAGAAUUCCAGGUGUAGCGGUGAAAUGCGUAGAGAUCUGGAGGAAUACCGGUGGCGAAGGCGGCCCCCUGGACGAAGACUGACGCUCAGGUGCGAAAGCGUGGGGAGCAAACAGGAUUAGAUACCCUGGUAGUCCACGCCGUAAACGAUGUCGACUUGGAGGUUGUGCCCUUGAGGCGUGGCUUCCGGAGCUAACGCGUUAAGUCGACCGCCGGGGGAGUACGGCCGCAAGGUUAAAACUCAAAUGAAUUGACGGGGGCCCGCACAAGCGGUGGAGCAUGUGGUUUAAUUCGAUGCAACGCGAAGAACCUUACCUGGUCUUGACAUCCACGGAAGUUUUCAGAGAUGAGAAUGUGCCUUCGGGAACCGUGAGACAGGUGCUGCAUGGCUGUCGUCAGCUCGUGUUGUGAAAUGUUGGGUUAAGUCCCGCAACGAGCGCAACCCUUAUCCUUUGUUGCCAGCGGUCCGGCCGGGAACUCAAAGGAGACUGCCAGUGAUAAACUGGAGGAAGGUGGGGAUGACGUCAAGUCAUCAUGGCCCUUACGACCAGGGCUACACACGUGCUACAAUGGCGCAUACAAAGAGAAGCGACCUCGCGAGAGCAAGCGGACCUCAUAAAGUGCGUCGUAGUCCGGAUUGGAGUCUGCAACUCGACUCCAUGAAGUCGGAAUCGCUAGUAAUCAUGGAUCAGAAUGCCACGGUGAAUACGUUCCCGGGC
rnacentral:rRNA from 1 species